rnacentral:lncRNA from 1 species
CCCAGUUCGUAUUCUCCUUCCAAAUAUGAAAGCGAAAGAAGCCCCUCUUCCACUAAAUGGUAUCCAGCUCGGAAAUGCUAAACUACAUCAUCCCUCUUCAAGGUCAGAGACAUGUUCACCCACAUCUACUUACCUGCUCCUCAUAUUGAACCAAGCUACAGGUUACCCAAAACAUCCAGAAGAAGACUUUAAGAGAAUUGGGAACCUUCUAUUACACACAAAAAAUGUCAUAAGCCCGAAAAAAAACCUCAGCGUCCUAGUGAGUUUGGGAAGGGGUCACCCGAAGGUGCUGUGGGACUAAAAUACAUCAACCAUCCAGGGAAAAAUGGAGCUCGAAGUCUUUGCAAAAAAGACUUCACACAGGUAAAACGAGAAUUUAACUCUUCAUUCCACCUAAGGAUUGAAGAAAAUCCUUUUGUCCCUCCGCGAAGCUUGCAAACUAAAAUGACUAGGAAGUCUGCCAAAGUCAUCCAAGUCUAAACGACCUGCACUAGAAAAGGAACUAUUUAUCCCAACAUCUCGUGAUUGGCCCAACAAUAAGUGGAAUUGUCCCCUUCAUAACCAGUGAGUGUCAUGUUUAAAAUACGAAGUUAGAGGCCAUCUUAAAGACUACAACAACUACCCCACUACAAAUAAAUAAGGUGAAGAUGAAAAAGAAAGGAAGUG